UACGUAGGGUGCAAGCGUUAAUCGGAAUUACUGGGCGUAAAGCGUGCGCAGGUGGUUGUGCAAGACAGGUGUGAAAUCCCCGGGCUUAACCUGGGAACUGCACUUGUGACUGCACGGCUGGAGUACGGCAGAGGGGGAUGGAAUUCCGCGUGUAGCAGUGAAAUGCGUAGAUAUGCGGAGGAACACCGAUGGCGAAGGCAGUCCCCUGGGCCUGUACUGACGCUCAUGCACGAAAGCGUGGGGAGCAAACAGG
rnacentral:rRNA from 1 species